GUAUUAUUGUUGAUAGCCUUUUGUGAGAAAUUUAAUAACGAAACUUACGUAGCUCUAUAGUCUCAGGAUAAUAAUAUAUAAAGUUUAAUACGCUAAGGAAAUAAGUGUGCUUCACAUCUCUCGGAAGAACUGAGAAACUAGAAAACUCCACAACCACAUCUUUUACGAUCCUCAGCUGAAAAGGGGCUACUGGUUUUUACUUUGAAAUGAUAGCGCAACGAGAAGGUCUAAUUCAAGCAUUUCAUGUAGCGAGAAACCGAACUGGCAAAGGCGCCAUGUCGAAAUCGUCCACAGAGCCCUUUUUCUCUCAUUGUGCCGAAGGCACAAUUUACGUUCAGACCUUCGUAGUGGGGAAUAGUAUCAAGAAAUAUUGAUUGUUUUGGCCAAAAUUUACACCUAUUUUCAAAUGUACGCAGAAUUCCCGGUUUCCAAUUCUGUCAUUGGACAUAAAACCUAGUAGUAUAUGCUCGUUUUUUUGGUGGUCGUUUGUGCGGUGGAUAUGACGGUGAAUGAGACGGAUGUGUCGGUGGCGUGGCAGUUGGGAUGUGGCGGUGUGAAUUGAUGAGAGACUAAAGAUCCGACGACGGUGGGGUCUACCACGGCGGUAGGAAGUGGCGAAUAACACUUGGAUUCCCUCGCGCGGCUCUCGACAAGCCUUUUACGUAGCCGGUCUCUACAACGUCAUUCACAAUGUUUUGCCGUCGCACGGACAACGAUAUUUCCACAUGGCUAAUCAAAAUGCAACCAGCGAGCCGGCGGCGAAAAAGCGAAAGUAAAUAGAUUGGACAAUUCUAUGUUUUAAGUGAUGAGAAGGGCUAUUUUUGGGGUAGCAACGAUGUAGGAACGAUUGUGUAUGAGUGGUACUUUCUGUGAUGUAUGGUUAAAUAAUGAUUGUCUUUGCCGCUAAAUUUAGAAAAAAAAUAAGAGGAUAACUUACAUGACUAAAUCAAUUGUUUCGUAAGCAUUUCAGUUUUGUUUACGUUUUUUCUUAACUUUUUAUACCCUUUGAAUGGUCAGAAAAACACGAGGAAUGCCUAAUACAGGAAGUACUCACUCUCGAACCGUUCAAAGAAAAGAAGUAUUUUGAAGGGGACAAAUCUGGGAAGAGAUAUCAGAAAAUUUAAAAUCGCUGCGUGUGCCUGUGUUCAAAUUAAACAAACGGUCGGUAAGAGCGGUUCCAGCUGCUGAGUGAAAAAUUUAAAAAGAAGAUGAACGAGAAGCGAAUAGCAUCUGGUAUAGAAACAGACCUGUCUGAGUUACGAAGAAGGAGAAGGAAGUGAGUGAGGGCACGGCAAAAAGCAGCUGCGAAAAAAGCGAGCAGAGGAGAUGAGGAGGAGGGGAUGGCGAAACGAAAGCGUGAAGGAGACGACUCAAAGAAACCAAAAAAGCACACUUUUCCUUGGUGGUAGGUAUAGCUGUCAGGUAGGCCCAUGGCCUCGGCGAGAACAGGAAUAUGGUGCUUUUACGUCCGGAACUCUGUCAAGGACUCUGCUUCAUCGACAUCGUCUAGAGAGAAAGCAUCAUCUUAUAUAUUCUUUUAUGUAUUAGCAUCGUACAGAAGGAUAAAUUCAUCGUCAUUAACAAUAUCAUCCGUGUAGGCAUCGACGACCACCUCUCGAGCCUGGCAAAAGGAUCCAUGUUCGUUAAAUUUGAGAGAAUCCGAGCGAAAAAAACAUACAGCCGUCCCAGAGAAAUCUUAAUGUUUACAUUUCGCCUGACGACCGCAACGUCGGUCCCAGUCCGCUCGCGCAUACCGCCCGGCGUCGUAGACACGAAUCUUAAAGUCUCUACUGAAUAAAUUGUGGCCGUGUUAUUGACGAUGAGCGUACGUGCUAAAGAACGGUGUAAAAAAGGGCGCUAUUCGGGUUGUUGUAUUUAA